rnacentral:rRNA from 1 species
UACAGAGGUGGCGAGCGUUGUCCGGAUUUAUUGGGCGUAAAGAGCUCGUAGGCGGCUCAGUAAGUCAGGUGUGAAAACUCCAGGCUCAACCUAGAGACGCCACCUGAUACUGCUGUGGCUAGAGUCCGGUAGGGGAGCAUGGAAUUCCUGGUGUAGCGGUGAAAUGCGCAGAUAUCAGGAGGAACACCAGUGGCGAAGGCGGUGCUCUGGGCCGGAACUGACGCUGAGGAGCGAAAGCGUGGGGAGCAAACAGG